GAUGAACGCUAGCUACAGGCUUAACACAUGCAAGUCGAGGGGUAACGAGAGGAAAGCUUGCUUUCCUUGUCGACGACUGGCGCACGGGUGAGUAACGCGUAUCCAACCUGCCCCCAACUAAGGAAUAACCUUGCGAAAGUAAGACUAAUACCUUAUAAUUUCCUCAGAUGUCAUCUGACGAGGAAUAAAGAUUUAUCGGUUGUGGAUGGGGAUGCGUCGGAUUAGCUUGUUGGCGGGGUAACGGCCCACCAAGGCAACGAUCAGUAGGGGUUCUGAGAGGAAGGUCCCCCACAUUGGAACUGAGACACGGUCCAAACUCCUACGGGAGGCAGCAGUGAGGAAUAUUGGUCAAUGGGCGGAAGCCUGAACCAGCCAAGUAGCGUGCAGGAUGACGGCCCUAUGGGUUGUAAACUGCUUUUAUACAGGAAUAAAGUUAGCCACGUGUGGUUAUUUGUAGGUACUGUAUGAAUAAGGACCGGCUAAUUCCGUGCCAGCCGCCGCCGUAA
rnacentral:rRNA from 1 species